rnacentral:rRNA from 1 species
UACGUAGGGUGCAAGCGUUGUCCGGAAUUAUUGGGCGUAAAGAGCUCGUAGGCGGUCUGUCGCGUCUGCUGUGAAAACUCAGGGCUUAACCCUGAGCUUGCAGUGGGUACGGGCAGACUAGAGUGCGGUAGGGGAGACUGGAAUUCCUGGUGUAGCGGUGAAAUGCGCAGAUAUCAGGAGGAACACCGGUGGCGAAGGCGGGGUCUCUGGGCCGUAACUGACGCUGGAGGAGCGAAAAGCAUGGGGAGCGAACAGG